rnacentral:lncRNA from 1 species
UCCUGGCUCCAGGGCUCAGCCCUGCCCACUUCUGGAGAAUUCCAUGACUCAGGUAACAGAGGAGGGGCCUAGCCAGUCUCAGAGCCAAGGUCACACCGCCCUACACCUUGCUGUCCCCACAGCAUCUGCAGGAGGAGCAUGCCAGGACCAGAGACCCAGGGAGCAGCCUCACCAGAGGGAAAAGAGCCUGUAGAGUGGUGAGCUCAGGGCCUCACUCUGUCCCCCAGGCCGGAGUGCAGUGACAUGAUACGGCCCUCCCCAGCCUCUACCUCCUGGGCUCAAGAGAUCCUCCUGCCGCGGACUUCCUGGUAGCUGGGAUGAGGGGUAACGGGAAUGGCAGGACUGUGGUUGAGCUUUGGGAGCCCGGGAAGGAAGGAUACUGGAGCUGGGCUGAUCCAGGACAGCUUCCUGGAGGAGGCGGGAUUUAAACUGGUCAAUGAGGCUCCACGAAACCCUUCUGGGUGUGAGGUACAGAGCUCAGCACGCUGCUGGUCCUUAAAAAAAGAACCACAUGAGGGCAAUAAUCACGAGAGGACUGUGGUGCUAUGUGAAGAAGAAAUGAAACUCAUCCAUGAUAAUGGAGAUGAAAAUCCUAGUUCUUAGGACGGCCUCAAACUUUAGAAAACCUCACACGGACUCAGGGAGAAGAGAGGGGCUAGGUGGGUGUGCAGAGUCCCCCAGUGGCUUGUUUUCAUUGGAAUAAUAACAUCUUACAUUUCGAUGUGGUAAUGUCGCUGUUAAAACGCACUUCUCAUUGUUAGAAAUAAAAAUGACUCAAAGAUGUGAAAGCUUUUCUCCAUUCAGUGACUUACAUGGGGGUUUUCCCAUGAAGGCCUUAGGAGAGGCUGUGAGGCAGCUUAUGCAAGGCUGCUUUCCGCAUCUCUAAGGAGGGUGGAAUGGGAAAUAAAACCAAUAAACUGUAAACUGCUCUCAGAAGAAUUCCUUCCAGCUGAAUUACAGAAACUUAGGCAAGGCUGCUACUAAGUUUAUGGGCUAGCAGUAAGUUUUCCUGCCCUCAUGGCUUUGGGGAAACUCUGAUGACUAUUCCGCUAGAAGGAGUAAUGAGUCAAAGACUGCCCUUAAAUCCUGCAAAAGAGGAUCUGGAAAAAAUACCUGGCACCCCCAUGACUAUCCUUCCCACCACCUGGUACAACCAGAAGUGAAAAUGCCUCAAGUUGAUGUUGAAACAAUAACUCAUCUCACCCUCCACAAAGGCACAGGACAUCUCUCAGCAACAGAGAUCUUUCCUCUAAUCGGAAAGUACACUCUUUGG